UAGCGAUCAAAUAAGACCCAAGCCAGGAGAGGACCGUUCCCUUAAUGCCAACAACAUUUUCUAAUCUAUCAAGGAGAAUAGUAUGAUCUAUAGUAUCAAAAGCUGCACUAAGGUCAAGUUACACAAGCAACGAGACACAACCCCAAUCAGAGGCCAGUAGUUGAUCAUUUACUGCUUUUUCUAGCACUGUCUCUGUGAUAUGAUGAGGUCUAAACCCAGACUGAUACAUUUCAUGAAUCUUGUUCCUAUCUAAGUACGAGCAUAGCUGCUGUGCUACAACUUUUUUAUAUCGUGAAGAAAAAGGGGAGAUUAUAUAUUGGUCUAUAGCUGGACAGUUGAGAGGGGUCAAGGUCAGGUUUUUAAAUCAGGGGCUUAAUAACUGCUAAUUUAAAUGAUUUUGGUACAUAGCCAAUGCUAAGGGAAGAAUUUAUUAUAUUUAGAAGGGGUUAAAUUACUCCAGGACAAAUCUGUUUAAAGAAACAUGUAGGUAAAGGAUCUAGUAUACAAAUUGAUGAUUUUGUUGAAGAGAUUAAUGGAGCUAGUCCGGUCUCUCCGAGGGGAGUAAAACAUUCUAAUCAUUGAACAGAUAUUGCUAUAUUAUCAUCUACAGGGUUAGUUAUAAAACUGUCUGGUUUUAAUUUAAUAGCCUGAAUUUCAUAUCUAAUAUUUUCAUCUUUACCAAUGAAAAAAUUCAAGAAAUCUUCGCUGCUAUGUAAUGAUUGUGUGCUUCUUUCUGUACUCAUUUUAUUCCUAGUUAAUUUUGCCACCGUGUUGAAUAGAAAUCUCGCAUUUUUUUUGGUAUCUCCUAUUAAGGUGGAGAGAUAGACUUUACUAGCAUCACUAGGAGAUUUUCUAUAGUUCAGUAGGCUCUCCUACCAUGCUGUUUGAUUUGGUUUGAAGCCAUUUACCUUCUAAUUGUCGAGUGGUCUGUUUUAAGGUACGCAUUUGAUCAUUAUACCAGGGUGCUAGCUUUUUCUGUCUAAUUAUUUUUCUUUUGAGUGGAGCCACUCUAUCUAACAUGUAGCAGUGCGUUGACUCUAAGCAUUCAGUUGCCUGAUCGAGUUCUAUGGGAUCAGACAGUGAUCCAAAUCUAACUGAUGUCUCUGGGAGGUUAUUGGUGAAGCUCUGUGCAGUAGCUGACGUGAAUGUACGUUUUAUCCGGUAGUGAGCCGAGGUGAAAAUAUUAUGAUCAAUACGUAUUAUGAAUGAGAUAAACUCUGAGACAACUUCAGACUAUGGAAAAAUUACAAUAUUUUCUAUAUUUAGAAAUGUUAGUAUCAGGUUAAGAGUGUGACCACCAUUAUGAGUAGGUCCUAUUACAUUCUGAUUGACCCCUACUGAAUCUAAGAUGGACACAACCGCUGUUCUCAGAGGGUCUUCCGGGUUAUCAAAAUGAAUAUUAAAAUCACCAAAGAUUAAUGGUUUUUCUACAGAAACUUUUUUUGAGAUAAAAUCAGCAAAUUCACUAAGGAAUUCAAUAUAUGGUCCAGGGGGUUUGUAAAUAAUAAUUAGAGGUAUUGACUUAUUUUUUGUAGCUACAUAAGUUAUACUGGUAUAAAGAAUUUCAAAAGAGUUGAAUUUAUGACAAGGUUUUUGUGUGACGCCUAGAUUUUGACUAUGGAUGAGACCAACACCUCCUCCUCUACCAGUUGAACGAGGCUGAUGUACAUAACUGUAUCCAGGAGGACUGGCUUCAUUAAUGCUAUGUACUCCUUUGGUUUAAUCCAAAUUUCUGUUAAACACAUUAUGUUACAUUCCUGAUCAGUAAUGAUUUUAUUUACAAUAAGAGCCUUAGACAUAAGAGAUCUAAUGUUUAAUAGUCCUAGCUUCAGAUCAAAGGUGCUGGAUGUGCAUUUGGUAUGAUCUAAUUUUAUGUUAAUUAGGUUAGUAAAACAAACUUUCCGAAAUUUUCUAUGUAUAUAGCUCGGGGAACAGACAGUCUCUAUAGAAUGUACUAUUGCCCGAUUGACUCCAAUAUGAUAUUUUUCACAUAGUUAGACAUAAUACAGUACUAUGAAAUAUUUCUGACCUAAAAUAAGACGAAAUAUGAUUGUUCACAUUAAAAUGUAAAACUUGAUGAUAAAGUAUGAUAAGGUGAAAAAAGUGACAUUUCAUGUCUAGAAAGUCACUUUUCAUCAAAAGUACAAUGACAAAACUAGUUCCCAUUCAUCCUGUGUCCCCAUGCACACUUGUGCUCUUUAUAAGCUCAAAACGCUAUACAGCGAUUGAGAAGGCGCUAGGAGCAAAGGAAAGUGGUUUUUCCAACAAACUCAUGUAAUCAAUUGUCCGACCUACUCCCGUAUGAUAUUUUUCACAUAUUUACACAUAAUAUAGUACUAUGAAAUGUUUCUGACCUAAAAUAUUAUGAAAUAUGAUUGUUUACAUUAAAAUGUAAAAGUUGAUGAUAAAGUGUGCUAAGGUGAAAAAAGUGACAUUUUAUGUCUAGAAAGUCACUUUUCAUCAAAAGUACAAUGACAAAACUAGUUCCCAUUCAUCCUGUGUCCCCAUGCACACUUGUCCUCUUUAUACUCUCAAAACGCUAUACAUCGCUUCAGAAGGGGCUUGGAGCAAAAGAAAGUGGUUUUUCCUACAAACUCAUGUAAUCAAUUGCCCGACCUACUCCAAUAUGAUAUUUUUCACAUAUUUACACAUAAUAUAGUACUAUGAACUGUUUCUGACCUAAAAUAUUACGAAAUAUGAUUGUUGACAUUAAAAUGUAAAAUGUUGAUGAUAAAGUGUGCUAAGGUGAAAAAAGUGACAUUUUAUGUCUAGAAAGUCACUUUACAUCAAAAGUACAAUGACGAAACUAGUUCCCAUUCAUCCUGUGUCCCCUUUCACACUUGUGCUCUUUAUCCGCUCAAAACGCUAUACAGCGAACGAGAAGGCGCUAGGAGCAAAGGAAAGUGGUUUUUCUAAUAAACUCAUAUAAUCAGUUGCCCGACCUACUCCAAUUUGAUUCUUUUCACAUAUUUAGACAUAAUAUGGUACUAUGCAAUGUUUCUGACCCAAAAUAUUACGAAAUAUGAUUGUUUACAUUAAAGUGCAAAAAGUUGAUGAAAAUGUAUGAUAAGGUGAAAAAAGUGACAUUUUAUGUCUAGAAAGUCACUUUUUAUCAAAAGUACAAUAACAAAAUUAGUUCCCAUUCAUCCUGUGUCCCCUUACACACUUGUGCUCUUUAUCCGCUCAAAACGCUAUACAGCGAACGAGAAGGCGCUAGGAGCAAAGGAAAGUGGUUUUUCUAGCAAACUCAUAUAAUCAGUUGCCCGACCUACUCCAAUUUGAUUCUUUUCACAUAUUUAGACAUAAUAUAGUACUAUGCAAUGUUUCUGACCCAAAAUAUUACGAAAUAUGAUUGUUUACAUUAAAGUGCAAAAGUUGAUGAAAAUGUAUGAUAAGGUGAAAAAAGUGACAUUUUAUGUCUAGAAUGUCACUUUGAAUCAAAAGUACAAUAACAAAACUAGUUCCAAUUCAUCCUGUGUCCCCUUACACACUUGUGCUCUUUAUCCGCUCAAACGCUAUACAGCGAACGAGAAGGCGCUAGGAGCAAGGGAAAGUGGUUUUUCUAACAAACUCAUAUAAUCAGUUGCCCGACCUACUCCAAUUUGAUUCUUUUCACAUAUUUAGACAUAAUAUAGCAC
ensembl:lncRNA